UACGUAGGGGGCAAGCGUUGUCCGGAAUCAUUGGGCGUAAGGCGCGUGUAGGCGGCUUCGUAAGUCCGUUGUGAAAGUCCAGGGCUCAACCCUGGAAUGCCGAUGGAUACUGCGGAGCUAGAGUCCGGAAGAGGCGAGUGGAAUUCCUGGUGUAGCGGUGGAAUGCGCAGAUAUCAGGAGGAACACCAACGGCGAAGGCAGCUCGCUGGGACGGUACUGACGCUAAGGCGCGAAAGCGUGGGGAGCGAACAGG
rnacentral:rRNA from 1 species